CCGGAAUAUUUUAAUACCUUCGCAGUUUUUAUUCGCAUGGCGCCUCACUCGAUAUUACCCUCGGGGCGACGCAUUUACUCCAACCUCUGAAACCCCUACGUGCGUGCAGGUUCUUCUGGUAUGUUAUGCAAAGUCCGCUGAAUAUUUAAAGGCAAGGUAAACCCUGCAUGGUAUUUUAAGUACAAUAUUUCGGACGGAUUCUGAAUCUUGCUUUUUGCGUUCUGUUCAUUGUGUUUUACUUCAGAAUAACUCUAAAACUACUGGACAAUCUAAAAGCAGGCAUACGAAAAACUUAGAACCGUUACAAGCAACAGGUGAAAAUGAGCUCUUGCAGCUUUUCUUUAGCUUUUUCUUUAGACUAAGUCCUCAUAUGAGAGACCUUUGCACACCAGCUGUCAUUUGAACGGGAAUUUGCCGGCUCUCAGGAAAGUGACGAGAUUAUCGCCAUAUUUAAUUCCAAGCCUAGACGCCUGCGUCUGGUCUAGAAGGCCAAAACCUCACAAGAGAGGAAUGAGCCAUGGAGCUGCUGCAAGGAUGAAGAUGGGGUGGCAGGCAACUGAGAAAGAUGCACUAGAUCUUGGGUCCUGGGUUUGAUUCCGGACUGGGCUGCCGUCUCUGUGGGGCUCACGGUUUCUCCCUGCGUUCAUGUGGGAUGUCACCCACAGAAACGCAGGGCCUAUGAGUAUUGACUACAGCUGGACCGCCUGCAGUUGGCCAUGCAAGAAGAUAAGUAGCAUAACACACAGAUCCCUUUUUCAGAUGGUGGCAAGUGUGAAGAGGGACGCUUCUCUUAGUAUCUAUAUGAGUUGAAAGAUAAAGGAGGGUGCUAUCUGGAACAUUGGGAAUCUGUUAAUUGCUGAACUUCUUCCAGAAUAGUUUUACACACACAUCGUAGUGCAAUUCUACAUGCAUGCGUUCAUUUACAUGUACCAGAAAAUUUAGAACAUGUAGCUUGUGAUUCCUUUGGUGUGGAAUGUUAUUUAUCUGUUUAAGGAAAGACAGAGUUUCUUUUUAUAUGAAUUCGUACAUUUGCAUUGUUAAUAGGUGUCUUUUAGAAAAGAUCUAGUAAUAAACGUUCAGUGAAUGAUGACGGGGAUUGUGUACAUCCUGGUUUAAGCUCUGUGUUUCUACUGUUAGAAAGGUUCUACCUGUGUGUAAGUUGUCCUCAAGAGUAACUGUGCAACUCUUCUUUGAUGUGCAGAUCACCUAUUCUUUUCUCUUGCUUUAAUAAUUCAUGCUGCUGUUUUAAGGUUGAAAACCUUCUGUUGCCUCUGGAUGUUGAACGUCUUGUUUACCAGCCUAGCAAAACAUCACACCUAGUCCUGCUGUGUGAUACUGGAGGUUUCUGAGCAAACAGAGAAGCACUGAGCAGUAACACUGAGCUGUGAGUGAUGGCUGCUCAAUACAGUGCGGGAGCUCAGAGAAUUUUCAUGCCGCAAAAGUGGGCGAUCCUAACAAACACAGCAGUGACUAUAUCAGCAUUAAUGCAAAACAUUAUUGGAUACAAUGAGGUUCUGAUCAAACUUUAUAUGUAAGUGAAAGCCUGUUGUUGUUGGGGAUAUCUCAGAGGUAGCAAAAGCCAUAUAUUCCAAUCCAAACUGUUUAAUACAAGGCGUCUGAAUGCCACAGCGUCUGAUUCAGAUGGCUGAGCUCUGGGAUUUUUUCAAAGCAGUGUAUUCAAUAAACCAAUUUGUCAUCUGUUUUUUGAGACAGCAAAUAACCAUCCGUGCAUGAGAUAAGAGCCCCAAACAGCCUUUAAUUAACUAAUAAAAGAAAUUGAUAGAAUCACUUAAUUAAAGGUGUAUCAAUAAUUAAUAGACUUUUGGUCACAGCUCAUGAAUAUUUUAAAUGUAGUUUAGCUGAUUUUUUGUGUGUGUUUUAUUUAAAGUCUAAUGGCAUAUUAAUUGUGGCAUCUUACACUCAAUAGUAAAUUAAUUGGUUGUUUAUGUAGCCAAGCGCAGUGCACCAUCACCACAAUGACGGUUUUUCAUUAUAAACACACUGGAAGUCCAUCUGUGGAGAGUAGACGCACAGCCUCCUAAUACACACAGUUAAAUAGUCAAUAGGGUUUUGUCUGAAGACGUUUGCUCAUGCUCGAGUCCUGUAAUUGCAGAUUUUCCCAGUGGAAGAAAGGAUGGAUGGGAUGGACAAAAGCCAAACAAGAAGGAUUACAGUUCCAGGCAGUUGCUUGCUGCUUGGCGGUGACAGCAGGGCCCCAGCCAGGUGACAGCAGGGACGUGGGGAGACCGGUGCCAGGGCUGACCGGACUGGGCUGGAGUGGGGAAUUAGCAGACUAGGCGGGCAGCCACCGCAGCAUGCAGUAUCUGUGCAGAUUCAGAUGCCAUCCCACAAGGCGUACAGACCAACUGAAAGGCUCAUCUGCCUGUCCACGUACAGGCAGAACUGUGUGUGCAAGACUCAUUGCGAUCAGUGGGUCCCGAUCAUCCGGUUCCUACUGAACGACCCAUUCUUCCUGUAUCCCUCAUGCUCCCUCCCCCUUCCUGCCCCAGCUGGAGGCCCAGUCUCUCAGUCAGAGCCCUGCGUGUGAGAAGACAAGGAGGGCAUGUGUGUUCUCAGAACUGCAUCCACACAAGUCUGCAGUGGACUCAGGAGGGUCUUCUGAGCCCAGAGGUCAGAGCAGAAGACAGCCCUGAGGUACGGGCGAAAAACAGGCAGCACCCUGAAGACACCACUGCAUCAAUUGCUCUUCUUUUACAAACAAACUUCUUGUCAAGUCAUGCACAAUAACACAGUCCUGUUUUCUUUUCAGCUGAAAAACAAGGCUCUAUGUUUAUAAAGGCAAUAUUCAGGAAUUCACUUGUUUUUAUUAGAUUCAAAUUACACCAAAUUCUCUCUUCUGGAGAGUACAGCUUUUUAUGUAAUUAUUUGGGCAAAAAAGACAUUGUCAAGAAUUCGACCGUAGAAACCUAACUGGGUUUUGAACCUGUGUCUCCCCAUUCUGAUGUGCAGAGGCUGCUUUUAUGAAAUUUCCCUUUUUCACUGGUAUGCUUAAAUGAGAGGGAAAUAUUCAAAUGCAGAGGUUUAGAGGCACGCUCUGCCUGGCAGGUUUGUGCUUCAGUGAUUUGCUCAACACUGUCAGCUCUGGAAUAUCCAAGGCUGAAAGCUCCCAUGUCUCUCUGGUUUCCAAGCUGAGGUUAGUCAGGUGCAAGAGCCUUGCUGGUUUCCAUGGA